rnacentral:rRNA from 1 species
UACGAAGGGGGCUAGCGUUACUCGGAUUGACUGGGCGUAAAGGGCGCGUAGGCGGCUUGUACAGUCAGACGUGAAAUUCCUGGGCUCAACCUGGGGGCUGCGUUUGAUACGUGCGGGCUUGAGUUCGGAAGAGGGUCGUGGGAAUUCCCAGUGUAGAGGGUGAAAUUCGUAGAUAUUGGGAAGAACACCGGUGGCGAAGGCGGCGACCUGGUCCGAUACUGGACGCU